GGGGAUAAAAAUAGGAAUGAAAAAUGAAAAAGAGCAUUAUUUUUUCAUCGCAUUCAUAGCUAGCAUCCUCUCCCUCCCGUAAAAGUCACUUCUUACUCUCCACCAAGCUCACUUUUCAUCCACCAAAACAUCCAUUAAUGCCACCACAAAACUGCCGCGGAAUCAUAAGAAAAAGGGAGCUGAAAAAAUCCACUUAGUCAAUCCAUUAACACUAGCUGAAUGACAGUUGUACACGUAGCUAUAGAUAUCACCCAAAAUCACUCUAGAACGAGUUAAGAAAUGGUCCUAAACACAGCUGAAAUCUCCAUCAAAAUAUCUCUCCAUGAACCCCACCAAACAACCAUGAAAGCUGGCUAAAAAAGCUCCGAAAAAAACACCAAAAACCAGUCUCAAUACCUGCAAAAACGCAGUAGCAUCUCGAUGAGAACUCAACCGCGAAACUCAGUUAAACCACACCAAAUCAGACCCAACAACCUUUUUUAAACCAGAUGUAAAUCCCCUAUUUUAACCAUGAAAAUUCAGUAACAGUAACUCCAAAAAUAAACCCAAAGCAGCCCUCAAAUUCAUCCAAACACUCAGAAAACCCUUCAGCGAACAAGGUAGGUCGGGGUCGCCAGAAAAUUUUCCUUCGAAGUUCCACCCGUCAUCUCUGGUCGUGCUUAAUUCCGCAUGUAUAUCUGAAGGUUUCCUUUCUCCUCAUGUAUCGAAGAAGAUCAUCAUUUAUAAAAGGUUCAUUUUUUUUUCUUAACCACUGUUUCCAUUGUUUUUCUUUUACAAUGUUUCCUUUUGAUUUGUAUAUCAUAUUUGGUCGUCUACCUUCAAUGAUUCAUUGUUCUUGAUUUUAUUUAUCUGAUUUGAGUGUAUCGGUUGAUGAUUAAUUAUUCUAUCCAUUUGGCUUAUGAAAUUUGGAAAUUUGACUGGAUAAAUAUGUUAGUGUAGAUAAUUUCAAUAUAUUUUAUUUAAUUAAUGUCUUAUCUGUUGAGUUUGGCGUUGAGCUUUAUUAAAGUGAAAUGCAAGUUUAAUGAGUAGUAGGUUGUUAUUGUUGUUUGAGAAUUAAAUAUGGAAAAUACGAUUGAACUUUGACUAGCCCAACACGAUGAAAUCAACAAGUUAGCCCCUUUUUCUUUUACCACUAUUAAUUUUUUUUGGCAAUCCAGUGCUUAGGGCUAGCUUUUUAUUAAUAGCAUAAAAGAGAAAUACAACAAUUAGGAAAAGUACAAAUAAGGGGACAUUAACAUCGGUAUUGUUACCCAUAUAACACAUACCGGGCUAAACAUACCGUACUAAAUCCUAUUGAGGCUUGACAACCUCACAUAUUAACAGGAAUGCAAAAAAUACGAAUUUGACAGGACCAAAUAUUUUAUGAUCAUCACAGAGUUUAUAACAUACUCUGUGAUGAGAUUACAAAUGAGGAUACUAACAAAGUGGAAGAUUAAAAUGAUGAACGAGUUAAAAUGAUGUCCCUUUUUGUCAAUCCUUUCAAUUUCUUCAAUUUGUAAUUCUUUAUCAACAUCGUCCUAAUUCUUAAAGAAGUAUUUAAUACUCAUGAUUUCUUUUUAGAUUGUUUGGACUUUGUUGAUGUAGUUGGGGCGGCCUGCUUAAGCUUGGCAUUUCUCAUUGGAGGUCGCCUAACAUUGUCGUCCCUGAUCUUUUCCUUUGUAUGUGCCUUUUGUUCCUCUGUAGCAUUAAUUAGGACUGUUUCGAGGUGUUGUGGCAGCACUUCAAUUACUUGACCUUCUUCUUCCGUUGAUUUGGCAUGUGUAAAACACCUUGUGCAUCCAAGUUUUGUUCAUCUUGUGAUUUAACAUCGCUUGGAUUGAUUUGUUGUUGUAUGUGAACCUCAUUCAUGCUCCUAUUUCCACGGUUAGUGCUAUAAGGAUCACGACUCAAAAUUUCAAAAGGAUGUGCAGUUAGCAUUUCAUCCAGUAGUUGUCUGUCAUGAGAUAACAAAUAUGUUUUACUGUUUCGUCUCAUUGAUUUAUGCCUAGAAUUGAUGAGAUAAUCUGUGACAUUAAGGUUACUAUAGGUUCCUACUUCCUUCGCUGUGCUCAAUUCUUAAUUACUUCCAUAACCUCGUUCGUCACACGCUCGAGACACCACCUUGUCCAUAUAGUACGAUAGUUUCUUUCCUCUGCUAAAAUGAUUGCAUUGGUUUGAACAUGAUCAUCACAAACAGUAGUUUGUGAGAUUCCUGCACGAGUAGCAGUAGCAUCUUGUAACACAACAUCCGGAUGAAGUUGAGCAGCAAUGUGUGAGUUACAGAACUGUGAAUUAGUUGUAGCAUUAGACAAAGUUAUUGCUUUCCCAUGGCCCACGAAAUUGUCUAGGUUUUGCUCCAUAUUUUCGGCAGCUUUUGCUUUCAUAUGGCCCGCAAUUUGCUCAAUAUUUUUGUUAGUCACAUGGCCAGCACUUUGCUCCAUAAUUUCGGCUUCUUUUGCUUUCACAUGGUCCUCAUUUUGCUCCAAGUUUUCGCCUGUCACCAAACUUGGAUGUCCAGCAACUUUGUUAUCUUUUUUCUCCACAUUAGACGAUUUUUUUUGUUGCCAAAAUUUAUCAACUUUCUUUCCAUUCAAGACAUGGCCCGCAUGGGCUACCUUUUGUUCAAACUUUCCAGAAAUUUGUUUCUCCACAAAAGCCAAACUAUGGCCCACAUGCAUGUCCUUCUUGACCGCAAAUUGCUCCAUAAUAGCAGUAGCAUUAACAUUGCAAUUUGCUCCAUAAUUUCGGCUUCUUUUGUUUUCACAUGGUCCUCAAUUUCCUCCAAGUUUUCGCCAGUCACCAAACAUAUAUUGGCGGCGUCCAUGUGCUUAAAAUUAGUAGAUCUUGCCAAAAAUUUAAUUACAUGACUUCUCCCAAAAAUUCACUAUCCAUAACCCUUUACCUCACAAUAAGACUGGCUCAAGGAGAAAGCCUGGUAUGACGAUGUGAAUCCUGAGGGCGAUGAUGAUGAUGACGAGGGUAAUAAUGGUAAAGGAGGCAGCGCUGUUGAGGGCCAAGUCGGCGGGGAUGUCGAAGGCCGAGAUGGUGGUUUCUAGUAGUUAUCCUUUUUGAUUUUUUGUAUAUUUUUUCCGGCGUCUUCACGAGGCAAUUGUAAACAGUUUUUAAGUAUGUGAAAUAUUUGAGUUGUUCUUUGCUUCUUCUUCUCUUCUUACGGUUUAUUUUCUGUAUUUGUGUAUAUUUUUGUUUUCGUUUCUUAUUCAGUAAGGUCGAAUUGUGACCUAAAUUUGAUUAUCCUCGAGGUCCGGUAGGUAUUAAUUCUAAAAAGGUCGAACAUUAUCUGAGUUUGAUUAUGGCUAAACGCUAGUAGGUGUUAGUUAGAACCUGGUCAAAAUAUAACAUAAGUUUGGUUACAUCGAGAGCCGGUAGGUGUUAGUUUGAACACGGUGGAACGUAACCUAAAUUCGAUUAUGGACAUGCACCGGUAGGUGUUGGUUCAAACAAGGUCAAACCUAACCUAAACUCGAUUACGGCCAAGGGACGGGAGGUGUUAUUUCGAACAAGGUUGAAUGUAGCCUGUAUUCAAUUUCGAUCGAGUAUUGGUAGGUUUUUCGAACAAGGCCAAACAUAACCUAUCGAGGGUUGGGAGGUGUUACUUCGAACAUGGUUAAAACGUAGCCUAAAUUCGAUUACGGCCAAGGGAUGGUAGGUUUUAGUUUGAACAAGGUCGAACGUAAUCUAAAUUCGAUUACAUCCAAGAGUUGGUUGGUGUUAGUUCGAACAAGGUCGAACAUAAACUAAAUUCAGUUAUGAUCGAGGGUUGGUAAGUGUUAUUUCGAACUGGGUCGAACAUAACCUAUUUUUAAGAAGAUAUGCCUAUAGGAGCGAAGUUUGCCGAAACCAUAAACUUUAAGAAUUAUUGCCUUGGUCAUUCACUUGGAGAAAUAAAAAUAUACUUCAAGAAUUCUUGCUUUGGUCAUACACUUGGAGAAAUUUACAAAUUUUUGACUGUUGGCUAGCGUUCCAGUCCCAGCUUAUAUCUAUCUAGCCCCUUUAUUGGUUGACCUGGAGAGUGAUUGAGAGGUCAAGCAAUGAACUAGCCAUCCUAAUACCAUCUUUGCGUACUUCGACUUAAUGUCUUCUUUUCUUCGCCUCAUUAAAAACCUUCUUGAGAAAAAACAAUUGGGACAAAACUCAAGUAAGGAAAAAACAGUAUGAAUUGGGAGAUGCUUUAUCGCUUAAAAGAUGAAGUACUUGAGGUGGGUAAUAUUCCAGUUGUUUGGUAGUAGCUUUCCUUUCAUUGUUUCUAGUUGGAAUGACCCUUUAUUUGCUUUUUCCAUGAUUUUAUACGGACUGUCCCAAUUUGUUCCUAGCUUGACUUCCCGUGGGUCUUUUCUUGCUUGUAUUUUAGCCUUGAGGAUGUAGUCGCCGACCUUGAGCAGCUUGACCCUUGAUUUCUUGUUAUUAUACAGUUCUUCUUGCUAUUUUUGGGCAAUCAUUAUUAUGUAGGCCAUGUUUCUUCGUUCUUCGACUUCAUUGAGCUCCUAGCUUCAGCUUUUGUUAUUUCUCAUACCGUUCUCGUGGGUGUAUCUUAAGCUGGGUUCUCAAACCUCUAUUGGUAUUAACAUACCAGUUCUAUAGACCAAAGAGUUGGGUGUCUCUCCUAUGCUCAUUUUUGGUGUUGUUUGAUAGGCCUAUAACACUUUUGGUAAUAUUUUUUCGCCAAGUCCCUUGGUUUCUUCAAGAUUUUUCUUCCUGAUGUUUAGUAUCGAUUUGUUGGAGGACUCCGUUUUCCUGUUUCCCGCGGGGUGGUAUGGCAUCGAGAGUAUUCUUUUGAUAUGCCAUUUCUAAAAAAACUCAUCGGUCUUCUUUCCUGUAAACUAGGGUCCAUUGUCGCAGUUGAUCUCUUUAGGGAUGCUGAACUAGCAUAUGAUGAUUUUCCAUAUAAAGGCGAUCAUUUCCUGUUCAUGUAUUUGGGCGAAUGCUCUUGCUUCCACACAUUUAGAGAAAUAAUUAGUUAAAAUCAAAAGGAAUCACAUGUUAACUCGCCCUGCCGGAAGGAGGACCACAGUGUCUAUUUCCCAUUUGAUGAACGACCAAGUUAAGGUGACCGAGUGGAGGUGUUCGCCUUCUUUGUGAAUCAUUGGAGCAUACUUUUGCCAUUGCUCACAUUUUUUAUGAAGUUUGUGGCCUCCGUUUUCAUGGCAGGCCGGUAAUAACCUGCUCGUAUGAUGCAUCUGACCAAAGCCUGAUUGCCGGAAUGAGCUCCCCUCGUGGACUUCAUCAAGGACGCACCGCGUCUGGUUCGGGCCUAAGCAUUUUUCUAGAGGGCCGAUGUAAGUUCUCUUAUACAUGUCAUUAUUGAUGAUACUGUUCCUGACUGCUUUUAUUUUCAGUUUUUUGGCUUCUUUUUUAUCAUCUAGGAGUGUGCCAUCCUACAAAUAUGCAAUAAUACGAUUGAGCUAGUCCCAAGUUAAGCUUACGGUUCUUACAACGACAUGAUCAACUGAUGAGUUGAGGAGGUGGGCAAUGUUUUAAUCUCUAGUUGCGAUGCUUUUGGCGGUUGCGGCUAUUUUAGCGAGGUUAUCCUUCUCAGCAUUCUGUGCUCGAGGAAUUUGGUCGAGUUAACACUCGUCGAAAUCAGGCAGCAACUUGUAGAUUUCAAUCUAAUAUUUUUGUAAUCUUUUCUCUUUGAUUUUGUAAGUCUCAGUGACUUGGUUGACUACAAGUUGGGAAUCACAAUAUAGUUUUAACCGUUUUACCCUGUACUUGAGUGCUAAUCUCAAAUCUUCAAUUACGGCCACAUACUCGACCUCAUUGUUAGUCAUAUCUAGGCACAUUAUGGAAUAGAGAAUCACUUUGCCUGUUGGGACAUCUAGUACGAGUCCUAGUACGGACCGUGACGCUUUAGAUGCGCCAUUUGUGUAUAAGACUAGAGGUCUUGUGUUUGGGGGAGGAGGGGGGACGUUUGAGCAGCUUCUCUUUCAACCUCUGGCAUUACUUUUGCGCUAAAGUUGGCAAUGAAGUCAGCGAGCACUUGUGGCAUUAUUGCUACUCGUGGUUGGGACGCGAUAUCAUGCUCGCUCAGCUUGGUGGCCCAUUUUCCAACCUUCACUAUUGCUCGAGUUUAUGCAAAAUUCUUCUCAAGGGAAAGUCGUAACGACUAAUAUGGAAUGGAAUUGGAAAUACGCUGUAAGAUUUUGUGAAGCUACGACUAAAGCCAGGGCCAGUUUUUCGAGGGGAGGAUACCUCGUCUCAGCAUCAACUAAUGUUUUGCCAAUAUAAUAAAUGGCGGAUUGCGUACCUUUGUUUUGUUGAAUCAGGACUGCGCUCACUAUUACUUUGGAUACAACAAGGAAAACAAGGAGACAUUCCCCUGGCUUUGGUUUUGAAAUAGUAGUGGCGAUGACAAGUAUACUUUUAAUUAUUUCAAGGCUUGGACGCACCCAAAAGUCCAUUGGAGGCCAUUUUCCUUCUUAAGUACGAUAAAAUUUUUAUGACAUCUAUCCGACGAACGUGAAAUGAACUUUGACAGGGCGGUGAUUCAGCCAAUCAGCUUUUGAACCUGUUUUUUAGUGGUUAAGUGUUUCGGUAUUCCCUCAGUGGCUUUGAUUUGGUCAAGAUUGACAAUGAUCCCUCUUUGUGAUAACAGAAACCUAGAAACUUUCCUGAGGCCACACCAAACACACAUUUUUAUGGGUUCAGAUUCAUUCCGUAUAGGCUGAGUAUAUUGAAAGUUUCUCUUAGAUGGUCAGUGUGGUGUUCUUUCUUUUUGGACUUGACAAACAUGUCGUCUAUUUGGACAUUCAUUCUUUUGCCGAGUUGGUCCUUAGACAUCCUCAUCACCAGCCUUUGGUAAGUUUCCCUCGCGUACUUUAGCCUAACCUUGUAGCAGUACGUCCCUUGAUGUGUGAUGAAUGUAGUAUUUUUCUGAUCCUCUUCCUCUUUGAGGAUUUGAUUAUAACCUGAAUAAGCAUCUAAGAAUCUCAUUAGUUUGUGCCUGACUGUUGCAUCGAUUAGUUGGUCAUAAUAGGGUAAUGGGAAUAAAUCCUUGGGGCAUGCUUUGUUCAAAUCUGUGAAAUCCAAGCAUAUCCGCGAUUUCCCAUUAUUUUUUGCCAUGAACACGUUAGCGACCUACUGAGAGUACUUCGAAUCCCUGAUGGAGUCAUUUUCAAAUAUUUUUCUACCUCUUCACGCUCAAAAUCAUUAAUUACAGAGUUCAAUUUACGUCUGAUCUAUCUUACUGGGGGUGGAAUGGGUCCAUUUUCAAUUUGUGCGUGGGUAUUUCCUUUGGGAUACCCGGGAUAUCUGCAUGGAUGAAAGCAAAAAAAUCUGCGAUAGCUGUUAAAAAUUGAUGAAAUUUACUUGGUUCCUAAAGUUUGUAGGCGAUGUAAGAUUUCUUGCUGUGUUCGUUGAGGUCUAAUUGAAUGGGGUCGAGGUCUUCUAUUAUCCAUCCUAUAGCUUCGACCAUAUUAGGGUCAUUGAUGACGUCCUCGCUGUCAUCACAUAUCGAUCUUGACCCUAUUGAUUGGUAUUCCUAUUUUUCUUUUUCAUUCAUCCUCACCGUCAUCACAUAUCGACCUCGAUCUUCUUGAUUGCUAUGCCUCUUUUUCUUUGUCCUUCAUUUGUUGACUGGCCAUGCUGUCUAGGGCGAUGCAAUAGCAUUUCCGAGAUAUGUGUUGUUCCCCUUAUAUGCUGAAUAUUUCCCAUAGAGUUGGGAAUUUGAUUACCUGGUAUAAGCUAGAAGGGACGAGCCUUAUGGUGUGUAUCCAUGGUUUUCCUACUAUGGCGUUGUAUGCUGUGUGUUGGUCUAUGAUGUGGAACAUGGUCUCUAGAGUAACGCCACCGGCCAAAAAAGGGAGUGUGAUUUCACUAGCUGUUCGCUCGACUACAUUAUAAAAACUAGUUAGCAUGAUGCAACAUGGCACUAUCUUGUUUUCGAGUUUCAUUUGUGCAAGUAAUCUAGGAUACAUAAUGUAUGCAUCACUCCCAUCGUCUACCAUUAAUGCACCUCACAUCAACAUCUGAAAUUCGUAAAGUAAUAACAAGGAUAUCAUAGUGAGGAAAAGCCAAACUGUGGGUAUCUAACUUAUCAAAGAUGAUACUCUCUUCAAGUUCGUCAAACCGUUUGCGGGUGGUUGAACAUUUGAGCUUGUUGGUAGUGGUGAACUUCACGCUGUUUAUGGAAGUUGUAAUGACCUUGUUGGUCGUUUUAUGAGUUAUUGCCCCAUUCCCCCCCCCCCCCCCCUUUUUUUUUUUUNNNNNNNNNNNNNNNNNNNNNNNNNNNNNNNNNNNNNNNNNNNNNNNNNNNNNNNNNNNNNNNNNNNNNNNNNNNNNNNNNNNNNNNNNNNNNNNNNNNNNNNNNNNNNNNNNNNNNNNNNNNNNNNNNNNNNNNNNNNNNNNNNNNNNNNNNNNNNNNNNNNNNNNNNNNNNNNNNNNNNNNNNNNNNNNNNNNNNNNNNNNNNNNNNNNNNNNNNNNNNNNNNNNNNNNNNNNNNNNNNNNNNNNNNNNNNNNNNNNNNNNNNNNNNNNNNNNNNNNNNNNNNNNNNNNNNNNNNNNNNNNNNNNNNNNNNNNNNNNNNNNNNNNNNNNNNNNNNNNNNNNNNNNNNNNNNNNNNNNNNNNNNNNNNNNNNNNNNNNNNNNNNNNNNNNNNNNNNNNNNNNNNNNNNNNNNNNNNNNNNNNNNNNNNNNNNNNNNNNNNNNNNNNNNNNNNNNNNNNNNNNNNNNNNNNNNNNNCCCCCUCCCCCCCCCCCCUCUCAUUUUUUCUUUUUUAUGUGUUGUUCAAUUGUAUUUCAUAGUAUCGUGUUGGUUGGUUCGGGUCCAGAGUAGUUUUUGAGUGGAAUGAGAUAUUUAGUCUCUUAAGUAGAAGCAUAAGUUGGAAAAGUCAACCGAAUGUUGACUUAUAUGUAGGAGGUCUUACAUGUGAAUAAUGAUGGUUUGAUUAGCUAUUAGGUAAUUUUAAACUUAGACGCGUGUUCGGAAUGCAGUUUGGAGGUCCAGGGUAGAUUUAGGCUAGAAUUGAUGAAUUGGAAAUUCAGUGCUUUCUGGUUGGCAAUGGAAAUCUUGAUAUCGGGGUCGGAGUGGGAUUCCAAAAAUUGGAGUUGGUCCAUAAUUUCACUUGUGAUGUGUGUGCAAAUUUUAAGGUUAUUCGAGCGAGGCUUGAUAGGUUUCGGCGUCGUUUGCGGAAUUCUGAUGUUUGGAAAUCCUUAGGUUUGAAUCCAAUGGUGAUUUCAUGUUUGGAUGUUGUUGUGAGUGUUCCAAAGGUUUGAAUAAGUUUUUGAUGGUGAUAUAGGUCUUGUUGGCAUGUUUGGUUGAUGUCCCGAGGGCCAAGGGUUGAUUUCGGGAGGUUGACAGAUCAAGGAUGGGAUUUGUUGAAGUGCUGAAGAUUUCCUUCAGCUAUCAUAAUUGCACCUGCAGAGUAGGGACCACAGGUGUGAGGUUUGCAUAAGCGGGAGAGCAGCCGCAGAAGCGGCUAAGGACAAGGAAGCCAAAUACUGCAGUUGCAGAAGGAGUAGCGCACCUACGAGACUGCAGGUGUAGUAUUCGACUGCAGAUAUAGGAAAAAGGACGGAUAUGUGAAACGUCAUAUGUGAUUGAUUUGAUCGCAGAGGUUGUGCGCAAGUGUGUAAAAGUGGGCCAUAAAUGCGAGAUUCCCGGGAAGAAGGUAUUUAAGGAGCCCUUUGGUAAUUUUUGAGUAUCCUACACUAUUUUUAUCCGUAUUUUAUAGAUUUUGGAGUGUUUUGAAGAGGGAAUGAAGGGGAUACUUAUUGAGGUAAUUUAUUUCAGCUUAAUGAUUGUGAUUAUGGUAAAUUUCAGUGGCUUAAGCAUGAAAUUAGUUUAUAUUAGAGAUGAAAUUGAGGGGUUGGGGCUUGGAAAGUGGAGAGUUUAAUUUAAGGAUUUUAGGGACCAUUUAUGUAUAGACUCAUGAGUAAUAAGAGUUUCUAGUUUUCUGAAUUUUGUGGACUUUUGAGAUGUGGGCCCGUUGGGUCAGGUUUGGGUGAAUUUCGGGAUUUUGGUAUAAAUUUACAGUUUUUCAUUUGGAAUUGAUCACUUGGCCUAUAUUGAUAAUAUUGUAAUGCUUUUGUUUAGAUUUGAGGCAUUUGGACGCCGAUUCUAGAGGAAAGGUCAUUGCGAUGUGGGGAUUUAACCGGUUCGAGAUAAGUAAUAGUUGUAAUUCUUAUCCUGAGGGUAUAAUGCCUCGGAUUUCACAACGUUGCACUAUUUUUGAGGCGACACACAUGCUAGAUGACUGGCGUGCACUGUUGGGGAUUGUGACUUGUUAUUUAUUACUUAGUCAUGUUAUAUUUUACUGAUUUCCUAUCUAAGACUUGUUUACUCCGUUUUCUUGCACAAAACAAUAUUUUGGGUUGAUCAGUCUAUUUUACUGAUAGCCUAAGUGGCUUGAGAUGUUUAUGACUGAGUGAGGUUGAGAGCUUGUGUUGUGAGGAUAUUAUUGGAUUGGACUACGCGCCGCAACAUGUUGUUACUGAUUUAUGAUAUAUCAGAGGCUGAGGGACUGAUUGAUUAUUCCACGAGGUGGCUUGUUAUAGCACUUGGGAUGUAGGAACCCCUCCGAAGUCUUCACACCCCCAGUGAGUGCAGGUACCCUGAGUGAGUCAUAUCAUGUUGCACGAGAGGCUACUCUUGAUUAUGUUGUGCCCGAGGGGCUGAUUACGAGUGAUUGUGAGGUCGCCCAAUGGGUGAUUCUGUGUGAUGUUAUGACCGAGGGGCGGUUUAUGAUAUAUGUUUAGCCAGAGGGGCUAUUUUUUGAUUUCCAUCACUUUUACUCUAAAUUUCAUUGAACCUCUGUUGAAACUGUUUAAAUAUAUCUUCAAAUAAUUUAUACCAAAAAUAGAUUUUUAAAUGAGUUGAUUUGACUUCUAUAUUGAUUUGAAAGUAUGCUGUACUUACGGAGAUUUCAUGACGCAUAUUUAUGCAUUUCUUAUUGCUCAGUCUUUAUAUACCUUUGUUAUUUACCGAGUUGGCAUAAUCACAUUACUCCCUGCAUCUUGUGUGCAGAUCCAGGGGUUGAUGGACGUGAUACCGAGCGCUGAUCUUUCAUCUGUCGUGGAUAUUUGGAGUCAGCAAAGUAGUUGUAUGGAGAUCGCAACCUCGCUCUUCUCCC
rnacentral:lncRNA from 1 species